GAGGAAAGAGGGCGGCGGGCCGAAUACAUGCAAGUCGAGCGAACAGACGAGGAGCUUGCUCCUCUGACGUUAGCGGCGGACGGGUGAGUAACACGUGGAUAACCUACCUAUAAGACUGGGAUAACUUCGGGAAACCGGAGCUAAUACCGGAUAAUAUAUUGAACCGCAUGGUUCAAUAGUGAAAGACGGUUUUGCUGUCACUUAUAGAUGGAUCCGCGCCGCAUUAGCUAGUUGGUAAGGUAACGGCUUACCAAGGCAACGAUGCGUAGCCGACCUGAGAGGGUGAUCGGCCACACUGGAACUGAGACACGGUCCAGACUCCUACGGGAGGCAGCAGUAGGGAAUCUUCCGCAAUGGGCGAAAGCUUGACGGAGCAACGCCGCGUGAGUGAUGAAGGUCUUCGGAUCGUAAAACUCUGUUAUUAGGGAAGAACAAAUGUGUAAGUAACUAUGCACGUCUUGACGGUACCUAAUCAGAAAGCCACGGCUAACUACGUG
rnacentral:rRNA from 1 species